UGGAGAGUUUGAUCCUGGCUCAGACGAACGCUGGCGGCGUGCCUAAUACAUGCAAGUCGAACGCUUCUUUUUCCACCGGAAAAAGAGGAGUGGCGAACGGGUGAGUAACACGUGGGUAACCUGCCCAUCAGAAGGGGAUAACACUUGGAAACAGGUGCUAAUACCGUAUAACAAUCGAAACCGCAUGGUUUUGAUUUGAAAGGCGCUUUCGGGUGUCGCUGAUGGAUGGACCCGCGGUGCAUUAGCUAGUUGGUGAGGUAACGGCUCACCAAGGCGACGAUGCAUAGCCGACCUGAGAGGGUGAUCGGCCACAUUGGGACUGAGACACGGCCCAAACUCCUACGGGAGGCAGCAGUAGGGAAUCUUCGGCAAUGGACGAAAGUCUGACCGAGCAACGCCGCGUGAGUGAAGAAGGUUUUCGGAUCGUAAAACUCUGUUGUUAGAGAAGAACAAGGAUGAGAGUAACUGUUCAUCCCUUGACGGUAUCUAACCAGAAAGCCACGGCUAACUACGUGCCAGCAGCCGCGGUA
rnacentral:rRNA from 1 species